UCUUAUGGAUGAGCAAAGAAAAUGGUUUCUUCAGGUGGAGUAUACUCCUGGUGAAGAUUCUGUGAA
rnacentral:pre_miRNA from 1 species